rfam:Nicotiana attenuata strain TT chromosome 3, whole genome shotgun sequence.
UGCGAUGAUGAUGAAUAUUGAAAAAUCUCGUUAAUCUGAUGAUUUAUGAGGAAAAUCUCUCUCUACCCAUUCUUAAUAGUCUGAGC